rnacentral:lncRNA from 1 species
UUGCGAUUCCAUAGAUCAAUUUUGUCAUUUUCUUCACUGUGACAGAAAUACAAAAAUCAGGUUUCGUCCUAUCUUCUUUGAGAUGGAACUCUUACCUCCAUGAUUGAGGGUCUGUUUUAUGGUUUGUUGGUUUAAGAUUCCAACUAGGUGUGUGUGGGAAACAUUUUUUUCUUUUCUUUUCUUCCUUUUUCCCAUUGUUGUCCUAUUGUUUAUGUGUUGUG